UUUCCCAUUCCUUUAUGGAAGUAAGACCCCUGAGAGAUGAUCAGGUAGAUAGGAUGGAAGUGGAAGUACGGUGACGUAUGGAGCGGACCAUUACUAAUCGGUCGAGGACUUAACCAAG
rnacentral:rRNA from 1 species